AACGAACGCUGGCGGCAGGCAUAACACAUGCAAGUCGAGCGCCCCGCAAGGGGAGCGGCAGACGGGUGAGUAACGCGUGGGAAUCUACCCAUCUCUACGGAAUAACGCAUGGAAACGUGUGCUCAUACCGUAUACGUCCUUCGGGAGAAAGAUUUAUCGGAGAUGGAUGAGCCCGCGUUGGAUUAGCUAGUUGGUGGGGUAAAGGCCUACCAAGGCGACGGUCCAUAGCUGGUCUGAGAGGAUGAUCAGCCACACUGGGACUGAGACACGGCCCAGACUCCUACGGGAGGCAGCAGUGGGGAAUAUUGGACAAUGGGCGCAAGCCUGAUCCAGCCAUGCCGCGUGAGUUAUGAAGGCCCUAGGGUUGUAAAGCUCUUUCACCGGUGAAGAUAAUGACGGUAACCGGAGAAGAAGCCCCGGCUAACUUCGUGCCAGCCGCCGCCGUAACAC
rnacentral:rRNA from 1 species